AAACGAACUUUUAGUUUGACACCCCGAAGCUAAGUGAGCUACUUCGAAACAACCCAAAGAGCCAACCCAUCUCUGUCGCAAAAGAGUGGGAUGAUUUCCAAGUAGAAGUGAUAAACCUACCGCACUUAGAAAUAGCUGGUUAUUCGAGAAAAGAAUAUAAGUNCAACCUUAAGUCUCCACAUUUAAUAAAAAACCACAUAAAACUUAAGAGUUAAUCGAAUAAGGCACAGCUUAUUCGAAUCAGGAUACAACCUACAAUCUAGGGUAAAACUCAUAAACACAUAACAAGUGGGCCUAAUAGCAGCCACCUUUUAAAAAGCGUUAAAGCUUAAUAUAUUUUUAUCAUUAAUACCUUCACCAACUUUUAACCCUUAAACAGUAUCGAAUAAUUCCAUAAUAAUAUGGAAGAUAUAAUGCUAGAACUAGUAAUAAGAAAUAGACUUUCUCCAAAAUGUAAGCUAAAGCCUUAAUAGACCCACUACCGGCAAUUAACGCAAAUGAAUUUACCAUAGUAACCCCGCAAGAAAAAACUAUGUACUUUAACGUCAACCUUACACCAGAACAUUUAUGGAAAGAUUAAAAGAGAAAGAAGGAACUCGGCAAAU
rnacentral:rRNA from 1 species